AAUAUAUAAUUACAUUAAUCUAUAAGAUUUCUAUUACAUGCAACAUUCAAAUUUUCUGUUUAUUUUUAAUUUUUUUAAUGUUGAAUUAAAAUGUAUCACGUAAUUUGAUACGAACAAGACAAUACAACUAAGGAACAUACAUAAUUAAUUGGCCCCACCACCUUCCCCACUCACCCCACUCCAUAUUACAAUUCUGUAAAAUUUAAUUUAAGAAGAAAACCUAUCUCCCCCUUUCCUUCUUUAGUUCCCUCUUUCACUCCACGGUGAUGAAAUUGAAGACUUCAAAAUCAUACAAAUGUGUGUUCAGCAGUUGAAGGAUAACGUGUGCGCAAAAUGUAAACGUACCGUCAUCUUCAACUCAACUGCAACUCUAGCAAGUCUUCGUCACACCAGAUUUCAGGCAAGCUAGGAGUUACAAUUUCUCUACUCACUAGCUUGAGGGGAAGUGUUGAAGGAAGCUUGACGUCUGAUGGAACACGUCGAAGGAACAAGUCCAUUGAAGCAGGAUGACUAGUUAGAGCUAGAUUCAUACAAGGAUUAGACUACUAAAUCCUAUGUUUUGUACGAUUAAGAAACUGAACAUUGUAGGAGUUGAUUAGGAUAAGGUAUUUCACUUGUAAUAAAUUACUACUCAUGUAAUUAUUUCUAUUGUAGUAGGACUCCUAGUAUAACUAGAAUAGGACUUUUCUCCUAUGUAAGAAGUUUGUAACUCAACAUUAUAAUCAUCAAUACAUCCUUUAUUUAUACAUA